GUACACGCUGUGACUAGCAUAUCAAUAAGCGGAGGAAAAGAAACUAACAAGGAUUCCCCUAGUAACGGCGAGUGAAGCGGGAAGAGCUCAAAUUUGAAAUCUUAAAGGGUUUCCCUUUACGAAUUGUAGUUUAAAGAAGUGUUUUCUGUUGAGGUUUUGGUAAAAGUUCUUUGGAAUAGGACAUCAUAGAGGGUGAGAAUCCCGUAUUUGACCUUUACUUUCAACUUUGUGAUACACUUUCAAAGAGUCGUAUUGUUUGGGAAUGCAGUCCAAAAUGGGUGGUAAAUUUCAUCUAAAGCUAAAUAUUGGCGAGAGAUCGAUAGCGAACAAGUACCGUGAGGGAAAGAUGAAAAGAACUUUGAAAAGAGAGUUAAACAGUACGUGAAAUUGUCAAAAGGGAAGCGUUUGACACCAGUGUUGUUUUUCUGAAAAUCAAUUAAAGAACUGUUUAUGCUAAGCUGUUUAGACUUUAUCAGCUAUCUGUUUAGUUUUGAGCUUUUCUUUAAUGCACUUUUCAGUUAACAAGUCAACAUCAAUUUCUUUUGCUGUAAAAAAGCUUGAGGAAGGUGGCUUGAGAUUCGUCUUAAGUGUUUAUAGCCUCUUGCCUAUGCAGUCGGAGAGAUUGAGGUCUGCAGCGUAGAUCCUUCGGGGCUAAAUGCAUUUGUGCUAAGUUAUAGCAUUUUAUAGACAACUUGUUGACUAUGAUUUGUCCUGUAGCUUACUCGCUUAUGUUAUUUUACCUACGCUUAGGAUGUUGAAGAUGUAGCACAUCAU
rnacentral:rRNA from 1 species